AGAAAACCAGAGGUCCCUCCCCUCUGACCAUCUUUCCAAAUAGUAAGGCCAGGAGAGAGGAGACAAGGGUUAUUUCAUUGAAAAUACAACACAGUACCCCUCUGGUGUCUUGCAGUUUUGCUGGACUUCUCCCCCCCAAGUGAAUCCAAAGUUUGGAAGUGGGGAUUGGGUUUUUAGGAGUCACUUUCAGUGGGACAGUAACGGAGGAGAAAGGAGAACGGGCAAAGAAACAUUCCAGACGUCGAGUUAAAGUGAAGUGCAUUUACCCGGGGGCGCCCGGAGGGGCUUGCAGGGCUGUUGCACGCCGACCCACCAUCACCACCAGUCAACUCCACGAGCGGCAGCUGAGGCUUUACUUAGAGGGAUAAAUAUUUCAUACACCGCGUUCACCCUCGCCCAGGCCUGUCACGGUGCGUUCCCUCUGACAACUAGGCCCAACUCUACUUCUGUCCAUAAGAGGAUGCUUUAGUUUGCAUAAUUUAGACAGCCCACGCUGUGAACGACGCCCAGCCUCCUAUCAAAAAUGUAACGGAUUUCAGCUUCAGAUUACCCGGCAGCCCCCUCAUUCUCGCUGUCUCAUCAUAGUGGACUACGAUGGACACCCCCCCCCCCCCCCCACACACAGUCUGGUGUCUGCUUCAGGCCAAGAGGCUACUGCCAUUUCGCUGCAAAAAUCCUCAACCUCAGAAUCUGGGUCAUGUUCGUCUGGUCUACAUGGUGUAAAACGGGGAGCUAUCUGGCCUGUGUGAGGUUUUGAAACCCUAAUGAACAGGACCAGGGACUAGAUGUAGACAGGUAAAAACAAUAAGGACAGAGCAGUAUAAGCAUGACCUCAUUCUUUCUGUCCUUGUGUAAAUGAAAUAAUAAGCAAUGUGAAGUAUUUUAGGUGUGGGCACACAUAACCCUAUGUACACAUGGAUGAAUAAAAUGGGCUGUAAAGGAAAUAACUUGAUCAAUCCUUCUCCACUAACAGUGAUUUUGCAGAUAAUCUGUAACUUCUCUAUUGAGAUCAAAUAUACUUACUAUGACUGUUGUUCUGGAUAAGAGCAUCUGCUGUGUGACUAAAAUGCCUGUUAAUCCACAAAGCAGCAGUUUAAAUGCAUCACAGCUCUUUGAUGUCUGUCAUCAGUCUGACUAAUUUGGCCCUCGUCAGUUAAGAUCCACUUGCUGUCUUAAACUUGUAUAAAAAGCAAAUUUGUUAAGUUUAUGGCGAAAUAGCCCUACUUACUAUCAGGAUAGCCAUGUUGGCAUUGUACAAGUAGCAUUUCAUAUUACCAUAUUUAUAGAAUUGAAUUACAAUCCUAACAAAAUACUCAGACACCCAAAUUAACUGUCGCACAAAACACAAGAUCCCAAUUCAUUCUCUGGGUAUAGCGGUUUGGUUUGGCCUUUACUGGCAGUCUCUCUGUGGCACAACUGCUGCUGUUAUCAAUCACAUCCACCACAUACUAACACCAUUCAGUGUCCAUUACUGACCACACACACAGAUACACCACUUAUCAAAUACACGGUCAUUGUGAGAGAAGCCCCACCUGCCGUUUGACCUUUCACCUAUAAUGCAGUUCCAGAGCUGGUCUUCUCAGAGAACCAUACACGUAAAUACAUGAAUUACAUUUGGAUGUCCUGACGUGUAUGUGGGGAAACGGUUUCCCCAAACAGUGCUGCUCUUCGAUGACUGUUCAGUGCCACCACAUACUUAAGACCCACAGAAAACGGACAACAAGCCCAUUCAAGAGCACGAUAAAAUAUUGUUUCUUCAUCCCGUCGAGCUGUCAUCAUUGUGAAUUCUAACUGAACCCCUCCAAGUGUGAACUGUUUUCAACAGCUCAUAAGUGUUGUUAGAGCAUAUGGACAGGCCUAAAUAUUUGCUAACUCAACUACAACUGGCCCUGUUGCAACGGUUAUAGAAGCAUAUACUUUAAAAUAAUAAUAACACCAGAAUAAUAACACCAGAAUAAUAACACCAGAAAUUCCUUUAUUUAACUCUUCAGCUGCUUUAGUUGCAUUGUACCCCCCCCCCCCCCCCACCCACCACAUACAGGUCUCCAUUACAUGUGGGAUUAAUUGUCCCACAUCAGGAUACAGACAACUCAACUAAAUGGCAAUUGUGUAAUAUAGCUGCACCACCAAGUGGCCAAACAUGGAAGCAUAAAACAAUGAAAAGGCAUGUUACAGAGAGCUGCUCUUCUAAAAUAACAGCCAGCAUGGCAUGGUGGAUAACAUACCCUUAGUUUUGCUGUUGAAGAUUGAACCACUCCUUCACUAUGAUUAAUAUGGACAUUCCUCAUAAAAAAACAAACAAAACAGAGCACCAUAUCACACUGGGAAUGUCCUAUUUGCAAUUAAACUGUAGUACACAACACAUUUAAUACCUAGAAAGUCAACAGGUGGACAAGAGUUUACAAGAAAAUUAUACUAUACUUGCAACACUCAAAAAAAGUGUCCAUACAAACGUCAGUU
rnacentral:lncRNA from 1 species